AUUGAACGCUGGCGGCAUGCCUAACACAUGCAAGUCGAGCGAGCGGCGGACGGGUGAGUAAUGUAUGGGGACCGCCCUAUAGAGGGGGAUAACUACUGGAAAAGGUAGCCAAUACCGCAUACUAUCGGAUUAAUCAUAUUGGAUUGGCUAGUAGGUGAGGUAAUGGCUCACCCAGGCGACGAUCCCUAGCUGGUCUGAGAGGAUGAUCAGCCACACUGGAACUGAGACACGGCCCAGACUCCUACGGAGGCAGCAGUAGGGAAUAUUGCACAAUGGGGGAAACCCUGAUCCAGCCAUCCCGCGUGUGUGAUGAAGGCCUUCGGGUUGUAAAAUACUUUUGGCAGAGAAGCGGUAUCUGCUGAAUAAGCACCGGCUAACUACGUGCCAGCAGCCGCGGUAAUAC
rnacentral:rRNA from 1 species